UACGUAGGGUGCAAGCGUUAAUCGGAAUUACUGGGCGUAAGGCGUGCGCAGGCGGCUAUGCAAGACAGAUGUGAAAUCCCCGGGCUCAACCUGGGAACUGCAUUUGUGACUGCAUGGCUAGAGUACGGUAGAGGGGGAUGGAAUUCCGCGUGUAGCAGUGAAAUGCGUAGAUAUACGGAGGAACACCAGCGGCGAAGGCGGGUAGCUGGGCCAACACUGACGCUGAGACGCGAAAGCUAGGGGAGCAAACGGG
rnacentral:rRNA from 1 species